rnacentral:rRNA from 1 species
AUUGAACGCUGGCGGCAGGCCUAACACACGCAAGUCGAGCGGAUGAAGGGAGCUUGCUCCUGGAUUCAGCGGCGGACGGGUGAGUAAUGCCUAGGAAUCUGCCUGGUAGUGGGGGAUAACGUCCGGAAACGGGCGCUAAUACCGCAUACGUCCUGAGGGAGAAAGUGGGGGAUCUUCGGACCUCACGCUAUCAGAUGAGCCUAGGUCGGAUUAGCUAGUUGGUGGGGUAAAGGCCUACCAAGGCGACGAUCCGUAACUGGUCUGAGAGGAUGAUCAGCCACACUGGAACUGAGACACGGUCCAGACUCCUACGGGAGGCAGCAGUGGGGAAUAUUGGACAAUGGGCGAAAGCCUGAUCCAGCCAUGCCGCGUGUGUGAAGAAGGUCUUCGGAUUGUAAAGCACUUUAAGUUGGGAGGAAGGGCAGUAAGUUAAUACCUUGCUGUUUUGACGUUACCAACAGAAUAAGCACCGGCUAACUUCGUG